CAAGAAAAGGGACAUUUUAUCCCACUUUUUUAGUUAACAAAAAUAAAAAAUGGGAUAAAAGAUAUAUUGAGACUUUUUAUCCCACUUUUAGAUUUGACACCUCAAAUAUGUAGCAAAUAUUUUUUUAGACAAGGGCUUUGUUUGGUAGAAUGUUAAAAAAAAAAUAUUAAAGGCAAAAAAAUAAGUUCAAGAUUCGAUUUUUAUGGGUUUGCCAAACAGGGAUUAAUUUUUUUUAGGGGAACCUUUUAUCCCGGUUAUUAGUUAAAAACCGGGAUAAAAAGUCAUCCCUAAAAUCACAGUAGUACUCAUACCAGUACAACCUCGACAACCUAACCAUCUCGCCCAAACCCAGAAACCCUUACCCAAAUCCCAUGAGACUCGAUCAUCUAUUCCAGAUUCGUCCAAAUCCGUCGAAGCAGUUCAUAAAACUAUUAAAGGUUUCAAGCAUCAAAAGCCAUGGUUAGGGUCAAGCAACUUCAUGCUUAGAAGGAAAGGAGCCUGUGCAAAGCUAUGUCUUGAAAGAAAACAAUAACCGAUUGACAACUAUGAACAUCAAGAACAACCAAUGGUCUAUGAGGAUGUAAGUCAAUGUGUAAAAUUAUGUUCGGAUAACAUUGACAAUGUUGUGGCUGAGGGUGUCAUAAUUGAGGCGGUUGGUUUCUUUUCAUAUCAUGGUGACAUAAUUUUAAAUGAUUAUGCACGGGUUCAAAUCACACAAGUUAUUCAAGGGGAAGUUGAAAUCCCAUAUCGAAGAGGUGCAAUACGCUAUGUUCGUAAUAUGCUUCAACAUUCAACUCCUAUUACAGCCAUAAAAGAAAAAUUUAGCGGCCUAUCCCAAUAUUCUGAGGACGAUCAUCUCUUACUGAUUCGAUAACAGUGGUUAAGUCAAUUGCUUCCCUUGAUAUAUAACAAUUAAUUAUAGUAGUCUUUUAUUGUAUUUUUUCAGACAUUGUGGAGUAUUUUAGAGAUUUAUCCAUAAUAUGUAAAAUGUUAUUUAAAAUUGAACUUACAAAUUAUUAUUGUUGUUAUUAAAAAUGAUAUUAAUCAUUCAUUUUUAAUUAAUUUUUUUUUAUACA